UACAGAGGGUGCAAGCGUUAAUCGGAAUUACUGGGCGUAAAGGGUGCGUAGGUGGUUUUGUAAGUAACAUGUGAAAGUCCUGGGCUUAACCUGGGGAUUGCAUGUACUUGAGGUGGGCGGAAUGUGACAAGUAGCGGUGAAAUGCAUAGAUAUGUCACAGAACCCCGAUUGCGAAGGCAGCUCACUAAGGUAUGAUUGACGCUGAUGCACGAAAGCGUGGGGAGCAAACAGG
rnacentral:rRNA from 1 species